rnacentral:lncRNA from 1 species
CAGCCUGCUAUUGGGAACAUCAGAAGGAACCCACUGUCCACACCUAAGCUCAUCCCCACUCGAUUUAUGGUGCUCUAAGUUCAGAGGCAGCAGCUUCUCUUCUAGGGCAAUCACUUCCCUUAGCAGCCCAAAGAGUUGAGAUGUUGAUCCUGUGGGGUGACCUGCUUGCUGUCUCUUGGAAGAUGUUUUUUGGUGGCACUGGUGCAGAAGUUGUAGAAGGACAGAGCGGGAGACAUGUUAAAGGAUUUUAGGACUCCUGAGUCUUGUGUACAGACCUUCAAGAUCUCCCUCACCUCCUGGUAUGCCAUGAAGCGUUGGACCAAAGCCCAAAAUAAGAAGAUGAGGGUCAGAAAGGACUAGGCACUCUCAGGAAGUACAGAAUUUAAAGACAGUCAAGAAACAACCAUUGGGAGAUGAGAUGAGACAUGUGCAAGAGAGGUAAUUAAGUGAUAACCUGUAGAUCUGACCAGGGUCAAAAUGGACCACAAUUACAGCACUGGGGGUUUAGUGAAGGAGUUCACUAUGGGCAAUAGUAUUGAAGUAUAGAACUUGAACUGAAUGUAG